AACUAACGCUGGCGGCGUGCCUAACACAUGCAAGUCGUACGAGAAAGCCGGCUUCGGCUGGUGAGUAAAGUGGCGCACGGGUGAGUAACGCGUGGAUAAUCUGCCCUUAAGUGUGGAAUAACGUACCGAAAGGUGCGCUAAUACCGCAUAAUGCCUGGCAACACAAGUUGUCCGGCCAAAGAAGGCCUCUGUUUACAAGCUUUCGCUUCAGGAUGAGUCCGCGUACCAUUAGCUUGUUGGUGGGGUAAUGGCCUACCAAGGCUGCGAUGGUUAGCUGGUCUGAGAGGAUGAUCAGCCACACUGGAACUGAGACACGGUCCAGACUCCUACGGGAGGCAGCAGUGAGGAAUAUUGCGCAAUGGGGGCAACCCUGACGCAGCAACGCCGCGUGAGUGAGGAAGGUUUUCGGACUGUAAAGCUCUGUCGAGCGGGAAGAAGUGUACCAUGGCUAAUAUCCAUGAUAUUUGACGGUACUG
rnacentral:rRNA from 1 species